UUACUAAUGUUAAUAUUGCUUCAUUUCUAAGCAUGAUAAUCCAAGCCGAGAAGAAGUUGGAUCAACAUCCGAGCAAGUUGGAUCAACGUUCGAUCAAGUUGAGCAAGAUUUUACUGAUGAAUUUACAACAGAUACGAUAUUCUAGUCUCGAGAAGAAUUAAUCCAAUGGGCACGUCAUACUGGACGAAAUCUUGGGUUCAUUGUGAUCAUCUUACGAUCGGAAAUUGCUCAUCCAAGCUCAUUAGACAUAUUGCGUGCCUUUCCAUUUGUUUUGUUCAUGGAUUCCACUUACAAGACAAACAGGUUUCGUAUGCCACUUUUUGAGAUUGUUGGUGUAACAUCAACAGAGAAGACAUUUUCUGUAGCAUUUGUCUUGCUCCAAUCAGAGAAGGAAGAUAAUUACA